UGCAGCCUCACUCAGCAGACAAAAGGGCCAUAAUCUGCACAGCCACUGCCCUGGAUGUUCUUCAUUCCCCACAGCAGGAAUGGAAAGUUUAAACUUCCCCUGAGAGAAGCACCAGCAAGCCUCUUGAGAGGGCACCUGGCUUGAAUUCCAUGGCCACUCAGAGGGAAGCUCAGAGGCUAAAUGAAAACCACAUGACCUGGAAAAAUUGAAAAUGGCCGACCACCAUCUCCAGGGUCAAGAUUUGCUGUAUGAGAGGCCAGAGAACAGGAAUUAAGAAGCAGCUGGCACAACAAAGAACUGGCGCUUAAGCACACAGCUUUUAAAAAUUUGUUUAGACUAUUUUCAUGGAGCAAGAUGUGGUCUAUCUUGAUGAAUAUUCUGUGGAUACUUGGAAAAAAAAAGCAAAGCAUUUUCUGAUUUCGGCUGGAGUACAGAGUCUUCAGAUGAAGAGCUGAGGACCCAGGAAAACUGCGUGGCCCUGUAGAAGUAUGACUAGACAAAAAGGGAGCGUGGCCUAAUGACAAUCAAUGGGAAACUUAGUAAGGACUUUGCGUUCAAUUCUUCUAGGUCUGGUAUCCUCUCUUCCCUCCAGGAAUGGACACCAGCAAAUGGGCCAGGACACCUGUCACACGAGGGCCUUAUGAACUACUUUCAGGUGAUGUUGGUCAGAAAAUUCCUUUAUGGCCAGCUUUUGCAUACCCAAGUGAGGGAUGGUCUGAAUGACCCUCUUGUUUCUGCAGCUUUCUCAAUUCUCAAGGUGCCGUAUUUUGCAGUAUCGUGUUCUGAGCCCUGGCAGCUUAUACACAGUCAAAUUGUACAUAUAUCCAUGUACAUACACACAUAGAUACACAUACAUACACACAUAUAUACACACAUGGAAAGACACAUACAUAACUAUUUGUAUAUGUUACAAUUCGUCCAGAUUUUUUUACAUCCUUCAUGCAAAAUUUGCGGUAAUUAAAAUAUUACAAAAAGGAAAUGUUCAUUAACAAUGACAAACAACUAUACUGUUUAAAAACCUUUCAUCUUUUCUCCUAGCAGGCUGGGGAAAACUUCUUUCCAGAUGCCUCAGAAAAAGGGCUUCUGUUUCUUACAGCUCCAUCCAGGGUCAAAUGGUGUUGAAAGUCAGUGCUGAAAUGCAUGAUGCUGCAGGAGUUUGAGAGCCUUUGACCUCUGUCCACCUUUGGUCUUGCUUGUCAAUGGCUUGGUUAUGUGUAUGUAUUUGGAACAGGGGCUUUGUACGGGGUCAAGGGCCCAGGGUGCUGAGGUUCUCAGAACAGGCAGAGCUCUGGAGACAUAAGGAAACCACAGGACAGGUGGGGAUUCUGUUCAGGAAGCUGAUGUAGAUGUUUCAGCUGAAAGUUGGGCCGUGCAUUUGCCAAGUCCCUAGAGGCUCACUGUUGGGGUGUGAGUGUAUUUCUUGAAACUGCCAGCAUCAUAUUUGGCAUCUUAGCAAAUGUCACUCCUUGCUUUUAGGAUGAAUAGAGAUGCCUCUUUGGCACUAACUUGACUUAUCAUAAUAAAUGCCUCACACCAAGCCUGCACUUUUUUCCAGGCCUUACAAAUAUCAUUUAAUUAACUGGAUAAAAACACAGGAGUUGGCUUUGUGAAAUCGAGGCUGUGGAGUAGCAGGCUUUCCUGCCACUAAACUGUUGGCAGCAAAAGAGCCAAAAAUGCACUCCCAGGUGCACACACCCAGCCCCAUCAGAAUUACUUCUCGCACUUUGGGUAACUGUUUUUCACUAACAGCUUUCUCCUCCUCUUUUCCCCGGGAACGUGGGAGAAUUGAGCUACAGAAGUCAGCGGGUUCUUCCCAGAUCUCAGCGUGCAUAUGUACAGUUUAGUAAAACCAGUUUCAAAGAAGAAGG